rnacentral:lncRNA from 10 species
CUUCUUUCUGAUUGAUAAAAUGGGUAUCGUAAUACAUCUCACACAAUUGUUGAGAAGACCUAAUGAGAUUAUGCUUGUAGAUGAUCUAGCACAGUGCUUGCCACAGAAUAAGCACUAUUAACCCUUAUUAUUAAUUUCACUGUGUCAAUUACUAUUGUUUUUAAAACUCUACAUCCUGAAAUUAGACAAUAUAAAUUCACAUUCCUCCAUUAUAAUUUAUACUUGCUAAAAAUCACAGCAUGAUCUCGGGAAAGUUAUGCACAAUAUCUAGUCUUUCACAUUUAUAUCUACCAGCUGAGGGCAAUAAUAGUAUUUUUUCAUUGGUUAAUUUACUAUUAUUUCUCUGAUUAUACUUUCUUGUCUUUUUUCUGAUUAAAUAAGAUUUUUUAUACUCCACACCUUAAAUGCAAAGAACCAUGUACCUAUAUAGAUUGUGAGGGUUUCUGGUAUUGUCAAUUCCUAACUAACCUGGAUUUAUGAGGGUAGCAAACAAGGCAAAUGGUGAUGACACUCAUCACAAAGUACCAUCUGAGAGGUGGAAUGGACAGUUGCUGUUUCUCUCUGUAGCAUGUUCUGAUUUGUUGAGUCAAAGUGCACAACUGGAAAAGGAAAAACGAAAUUAACUCUCUUUAUUCAGCCUAUCUUUCUCAUGAUGUGAGCCCAUAAUUUGUUAACCGUGGUUAAGCUUUUCUCAAGUCCAGUUAUGACUGCUUUAAAAUUACCGUGAAUUUUGGCAUAAUACUUUCUGCCAGUCUUAAUUUACAGUACUAUGAGUCUUUUGUUUGUGUUUCAUUUUGUUUUUUUCUGUUUUUUCACUUUAGAAAGAAGUUGGAAGAGGAAACAUUAGGAAUUUCCUUUCAAACUCCAAUCAAAACAGCCCAUUUGAAUAUUUUUUUAAAAAAAUUCCAAAAAUUCUUCCUGUGAGGAUGCAUUGGCUAAAGCAGGUCAAAGUUGCUGAAGAGGACUAAGCGAGCCUCUUGGGGAAGAUGAUAUCAUCUGAUCUGUACACAUGUCACAUUCAGAACAUUCUGCAUGGCUGCUGCUGAGCUCCCAUCUGUCAGAUCUCAACAGAGAGAACAAAGACUAGAGAUGUGAGUAAUUCAAGAAACAUCCAUUUACUAGCUGAAAAAACAAAUAAAAUUAGGAGGAGCCACUUUCUUCUUGUUACAUGUUACUGAUACGUGUUCUACCUGGCCAUACCACACAUUACAUAAAAUGUAUUCAACUACUUUACUGUCAUUUGCUUAAAUUGUCUUAUUUUUAGAAACUUGUUCAUAAUAACUACAAUCUCUAUAAGCAUAGUACAAAAUAACUACAAGCAUAAUCAAUACAAUUGUAUUUAGACAAUAAGAGAUAUUUUUAUUUGGUACAGAUCUUGGGAAAUGCGGUAUUGGUCUUCUACACUGCUUCAAAUACAGAAUAGGCUUUUCUUAAUACAUGAGUUAAAUUUAAUGUUUGCAUAUACAUCACAUAAAAAUAAAAUGUUUCACCCUGAAAAUGCUAUUAGAAAGAAUUCAGCAAAGUAGAUAUCUGGGAAAAUAAGCUGAAAAGAAAUUUAUUCAUUUCCAAGAAGAUUAAUGAUAAUGUGCCACAGGUAUUCAUAUUCCACAUUUUAUCUUCUAGUGUCAACUCAUCUAACAGUGGGCCAAUAAGUAAUAUAUAAAUCUUCUGCCUUUAAUAUAUUUUUGCUUACUGAGAGCUAAAGUAACAUCGAUUUACUCCUAUAUAUUAUAUGAGCACUUGAAAUGUUUAUACAAUGCAUACUUUAUUUUAAGAUUGAAUAUAGAAGAGAUAUUUUGACAUAAAUGGGAAUAAAACCAUAAAAAUUUUUUACACUGAAAAUUAAUAUACCUUUGAGUUACGGCUCAUUGUGCUCUAAAAAGUGACUUUCUUAGAUUGAAUUACUCCUCUACAUAUGAGACACCAAGAAGUUAAUGUUUUAUUCAGUAAGAAUGAACAAUUUGCUAUCUGUCAGAUGCUUAGCCAUGUGCUAGGACUACAAAAAUAAAUUAAUAAAUAAGAUAGAUACAGACUUUUUUCCCAUCAAGGAGCUCAAAGUUAAGAAGAGGUAAAAGACACUUUGGGAGGCCGAGACGGGCGGAUCACGAAGUCAGGAGAUCGAGACCAUCCUGGCUAACACGGUGAAACCCCGUCUCUACUAAAAAUACAAAAAUUAGCCGGGCAUGGUGGCGC